rnacentral:rRNA from 1 species
GAUGAACGCUGGCGGCGUGCCUAAUACAUGCAAGUCGAGCGAACAGACGAGGAGCUUGCUCCUCUGACGUUAGCGUCGGACGGGUGAGUAACACGUGGAUAACCUACCUAUAAGACUGGGAUAACUUCGGGGAACCGGAGCUAAUACCGGAUAAUAUAUUGAACCGCAUGGUUCAAUAGUGAAAGACGGUUUUGCUGUCACUUAUAGAUGGAUCCGCGCCGCAUUAGCUAGUUGGUAAGGUAACGGCUUACCAAGGCAACGAUGCGUAGCCGACCUGAGAGGGUGAUCGGCCACACUGGAACUGAGACACGGUCCAGACUCCUACGGGAGGCAGCAGUAGGGAAUCUUCCGAAAUGGGCGAAAGCCUGACGGAGCAACGCCGCGUGAGUGAUGAAGGUCUUCGGAUCGUAAAACUCUGUUAUUAGGGAAGAACAAAUGUGUAAGUAACUAUGCACGUCUUGACGGUACCUAAUCAGAAAGCCACGGCUAACUACGUG